UAGGGAAUCUUCCACAAUGGACGAAAGUCUGAUGGAGCAACGCCGCGUGAGUGAAGAAGGUUUUCGGAUCGUAAAGCUCUGUUGUAAGAGAAGAACGUGUGUGAGGGUGGAAAAUUCACACAGUGACGGUAACUUACCAGAAAGGGACGGCUAACUACGUGCCAG
rnacentral:rRNA from 1 species